GCGUCAGUAGUGCAACACUUAGCAUACGCUCCUGGAAAGAGUGAGAUCGGGGUUCGAACUCCGGCUGACGCA